rnacentral:rRNA from 1 species
UACGUAGGGUGCGAGCGUUUGUCCGGAAUUAUUGGGCGUAAAGAGCUUGUAGGCGGUCUGUCGCGUCUGCUGUGAAAACCUGCGGCUCAACUGCAGGCUGGCGGUCGAUACGGGCAGGCUGGAGUUCGGUAGGGGAGACUGGAAUUCCUGGUGUAGCGGUGAAAUGCGCAGAUAUCAGGAGGAACACCGGUGGCGAAGGCGGGUCUCUGGGCCGAUACUGACGCUGAGGAGCGAAGCGUGGGGAGCGAACAGG